AUAACAUCUGGUGAUAUUGUGAAGGUUUAUAAAAAUAACUAUUCACAACAGGUAACAUUGUAAAGGUGUAUAAAAUAACCAUUCACAACAGGUAACAUUGUAAAGGUGUAUAAAAAUAACUAUUCACAACAGGUAACAUCUGGUGACAUUGUAAAGGUUUAUAAAAAUAACUAUGCACAACAUGUAACAACUGGUGACAUUGUAAAGGUUUAUAAAAUAAUUAUUCACAACAGGUAACAUCUGGUGACAUUGUAAAGGUUUAUAAAAAUAACUAUGCACAACAUGUAACAACUGGUGACAUUGUAAAGGUUUAUAAAAAUAACCAUUCACAACAUGUAACAUCUGGUGACAUUGUAACGGUUUAUAAAAAUAACUUUUCACAACAGGUAACAUCUGGUGACAUUGUAAAGGUUUAUAAAAAUAACUAUGCACAACAUGUAACAACUGGUGACAUUGUAAAGGUUUAUAAAAUAAUUAUUCACAACAGGUAACAUCUGGUGACAUUGUAAAGGUUUAUAAAAAUAACUAUCCACAACAUGUAACAACUAGUGACAUUGUAAAGGUUUAUAAAAUAAUUAUU